CACCAGCUCUUUCUUCACCUAUUACAGACAGGGAUGGAAACAUUGAGGCCUGAAUUUCCAGAAAAUCUGGCACUGGUCCUUCAUGUAUACUUCAUCCACUUCGGACAACUACUGUGCAGACUUGAACUGCAGCAAGGAGUGAAUCAAUCCUGCCGGAACACAUUCAACUGCUUCAAGUGAGAAUAACUUCCUGGAAGUUUUGUUUACUUAUUUGUAUUUUUGAACUAACCAUAAUUUUCUGUUAUCCAAAGAAUUUCCAUACUAAAUAUCACAGAAGAGAAAAUCUGUAUGAACAAUAAAU